rnacentral:rRNA from 1 species
UACGUAGGGUGCGAGCGUUAAUCGGAAUUACUGGGCGUAAAGCGUGCGCAGGCGGUUCUAUAAGACAGAUGUGAAAUCCCCGGGCUUAACCUGGGAACUGCGUUUGUGACUGUAGGACUCGAGUGUGUCAGAGGGGGGUGGAAUUCCGCGUGUAGCAGUGAAAUGCGUAGAGAUGCGGAGGAACACCGAUGGCGAAGGCAGCCCCUGGGAUAACACUGACGCUCAUGCACGAAAGCGUGGGGAGCAAACAGGAUUAGAAACCCGAGUAGU